CGCUUCCACGCUGUUGGAGGUUUGUUCUUUUGCUGUUUGCAAUAAAUCUUGCUGUUGUUUGCUCUUUGGAGCCACACUACCUUUAUGAGCUGUAACACUCACCGCGAAGGUCUGCAGCUUCACUCCUGAGCCAAAGAGACCACGACCUCACCAGAAGGAAGAAACUCCGAACACAUCCAAACAUCAGAAGGAACAAACUCCAGACGUGCCGCCUUUAAGAACUGUAACACUCACUGCGAGGGUCCGCAGCUUCAUUCUUGAAGUCAGUGAGACCAAGAACCCACCAAUUCUGGAGACAAGAGGAUUGCUUAAGCCCAGAAGUUUGAGUACAGCUUGGGAAACAUAGUGAGACCCUGUCUCAAAAAGAAUAGAUAUGUUCCAAAACAAAAGAGUGAGAAGUGUGCCAUUCUAUAUUUUUUGCAAAUCUUUUAAACGUCUGGCGUAAUAGGAGGUAGCUGGAUGCCGUGUCUGUGUCUGCAGACACACUGCUGUGAUGUCACAAAUCAUGUGGCCUCUGGAAAAUUCUCUUUUAUUUCAAGAGGGAUUUUAAUUUCAGAAAACCACAGUGGAAAAGGCUGAUAAUGGCCUACAGUAUGAACAUAGUUUUGAAUAUGUGGACCUCUCUAAAAGAGUUUCAGGGAACCUCCUCUCCCCAGCGGUCUCUGGAGCUCUGCUUUGAGGACCAGUGCCCUAGAGAAAUAGCCGCACAGGUGCAUAGGGCUGCACACGGCAGCUUGUUUGUAAAGGAGAAUGCUGGAGCAAUUGCGCCAGAGGACACAGAGACCAAGAGAGACUACGCAGCAGCCACGGAGAGAGAAGGGCCUAUGUGGCUAACACGCACAGGAACUGCUGAUGAAGAAUGAUGGAUGUGCUGUGGAAGGCAGUGAGCUUCUUGGCAGAGGAGGUAUGUCAGCAGGUAAGGGACUUCAGCGGCUGGAAUUGUGAAUACAGUUGGAGGUUGAAUUAGACAUUAAUAUUGAAAUCUUUCCACUAUGAGAUGCUGCUGCUUCUUCUAUUCCCUAAAUCAUUUAAGGGUUUCAACAAGCAAAAUGAGAUGGAGGGACAGCUUUUACCCCCAGGGGCCUGUUUAAAUGUUUCCUGGCACAGGCUGCCUGGGGUGGACUGGAUCCCCACACUCCACCUCCUAGCACUUGCAUGUGUCUUAGAAAGCCUGCUCCAGGCACAGCUUCCUGCACGGACAGCAACGACAAUACCAACUAAACCCUUCAGAAUGUUCUGAAAGCUGUUCUCAAUAUUUCAAACAUCUUCCUCAUGAAAACCCUAUAACAGGUAAGGUCAUUAUCUCCAUUUACAGAGGAGGAAACCAAAGCACUAAGAGCUGGAGGAAGCUGCUGGAGCCGCACCGCGGGAGAGGUGGGGUCUGCACUCAGGCGGGAGGCUCCAGGCCCACAUGCCAGGCACAAGGGAAGCUUGGAAGGCAGGCUCUGGAAUGACCCGGCCCAGCUGCCGUUGUCAGUGGGUAACUCCAGGUCACAGGCAGUGAAGCUGGGAAGAGAACAGAGCCAUCUGGAGAGCAGGACAGAUGAGGACACUCUUUGGAAUUUUCCAAGAAGUAAAAUGUGGCUACAGAGAAAUGGAACAAGUGCUUCCUCAGGGAGCCCUGGGGUGUGCUACUGUUGUCUAGUGACCAGUAUUCAACUGCUUCUCCCAUUGCCCCUCUCUCUGCUGGAUUAUUCAGCAGAUCAGCCACCCCUCAUCACACUCACAUGCUAUAAUAGCUCCACCUUCAAACAAGCAAAUACACAAAACAUCCUCUGACCAUAUGACUUUCCCAGCUACCACCCUUACUCUGCCCUACUUGACAGAAAACUUGAAAGCACUGUGCCUACUACACAUGCUGCCCCAAUCAUGUCUUGGUCCCCGUCACAUCACCCACGGCACUGGGCUGCCAAGCCCAAUGGCCAGUUCUCAGCACGCAUUUGACUUGGCCUAAAGAGAAAGGAUUGGACAUCAGAUUCCUCCCUCGCUUACACACUCUUCCCGUGGCUUCCGGGAGACUGCUCUCCUCUGGGAUUCCUCCUGCCUCCCUGGCACUCUUCGCCAUUUUGCCUCUCCGUCCCGACCCCUAAUGCCGGUGAGCCCUGGGAUGCCCUCUGAGGACCUCUUCUCUCCUCAGUGUGCACUCGCUCUAGGAGGAGUCUCAGCCAACGCCAUGGCUUUGCGUGCCCAUGACUUCCUACUUCUUAUCUCCAGCUCUGGCCUCUCUCUUGAACCUCGGGCUCAGAUCCAGUUCCUGACAAGCGCCCGAACUUAACUGUGGCACCUCUAUUUGGAUGUCCCACAGGCUUCUCACAGCCUCUCAUGCCACCUGGACUUGUCCUGGUCUUCCUCCAUCUGCUCCUCCCUCCCUCAGUGAAGUGUGCCAUCACCCACUUGACCACCCAAAGAGUGGCCGCUGGGUUUGGCUCCAGCAAGUAGUGCCCAGAAAAUCCUCCUGGUUCUUCGUUCUCCCACCCCAACAAAAAUGUCACUUUCUCAGAACUCACCUCUCCCUCUGCUAUGGUUUGAAUGUGUCCCCCAAAGUUCACGUGUUGGAAACCUAAUCCCCAAUGCAACAGUGUAGAGAGGUGGGGCCUUGAAGAGGUGAUCAGGCCAUGAGAGCUCUGCCCUCACGAGUGGAUCCACACCAUUACUGCAGGAGUGGGCUCCAGAUACAGGAAUGCGUUUGUCUCCCUCUCUCCCUCUUUUGUUCUUCUACCUUCUUCCCUGGAACGGUGCACCAAGAAGCCUAUGGCCAGAUGUGACAUGCCCUUUACUUCCCAGCCUCCAGAACCCUUAGCUAAAUUUCUGUUUUUCUUUUUCUUUUUUUUUUUCUUUUUUUUUGCGACGGAGUCUUGCUCUGUCACCCAGGCUGGAGUGCAGUGGUGCAAUCUCGGCUCACUGCAACCUCUGCCUCUCAGGUUCAAGUGAUUCUCCUGCCUCAGCCUCCCGAGUAGUUGGGACUACAGGUGUGUGCAACCAUGCCUGGCUAAUUUUGUAUUUUUAGUAGAGAAAGGGUUUUACCAUGUUGGCCAGGCGGGUCUUGAACUCCUGGCCUCAAGUGAUCUGCCUGACUCGGCUUUCCAAAGGUGCUGGGAUUACAGGUGUGAGCCACUAGACCCAGCCCCAAAUUUCUUUUCUUUAUAAAUUACCCAGUCUGUGGUAUUCUGUUACAGCAGAACAAAUAAAUAUGAAUAAGACACCUCUCCUGGCUCCUAGAGCCCUCGUGUGGUGUGUUAUGGUGUUUCUCUCUCACCAGACUGGGAUUUCCUUGAGGACAGUUAGCACAGGGACUGAGUGGCCCAAUGAAGGUUUGUCAAAUGAAUGAAUGGGAUUUAGGGGUGGAAGUGCAAGGAAAGGCCAGGCCAGGGACAAGACCAGAGCCUGGGUAAGCAUCCAGUUUACUCCUAUCACCUAUUCACCUGCUCUUGGAUUGUUCCAGAAAGGACAGAGAAGGAAGAGCACUAGAUCUGGAGCCACAAGACAUGGGUUGAGUCCUACCAUUCCCAGUUCCUAUCAGCUUUGUCCUGUGGAAUGGGGCUAAGCCCUCUGUGCACCUCAGAGAGGGGUGGACCCUACGUGAUAGGAUAAUGCAGAUUCCUAAGCUGCAGACAUUUUUGGUCAUUUGUCCUUUUAUUUACUAAUACAUAUUUUAUGUAGUGGUAAAUAUUAUAACCAAUAAUGAAAACCCAGCAUCUCUUGCCAUAAAUAGUAACCAUUGUUAAAUUUAAGAAUCAAGAGGUGGCCAGGCGCGGUGGCUCACGCCUGUAAUCCCAGCACUUUGGGAGGCCGAGGCGGGUGGAUCAUGAGGUCAGGAGGUCGAGACCAUCCUGGCUAACAUGGUGAAACCUCGUCUCUACUAAAAAUACAAAACCAAA
rnacentral:lncRNA from 10 species